GCCUGGGUGGCUCAGUCGGUUGAGCGUCCGACUUCGGCUCAGGUCAUGAUCUCGCGGUCUGUGGGUUCGAGCCCCGCGUCCGGCU
rnacentral:tRNA from 1 species